GAUGAACGCUGGCGGCGUGCCUAAUACAUGCAAGUCGAGCGAACGGACGAGAAGCUUGCUUCUCUGAUGUUAGCGGCGGACGGGUGAGUAACACGUGGAUAACCUACCUAUAAGACUGGUAUAACUUCGGGAAACCGGAGCUAAUACCGGAUAAUAUUUUGAACCGCAUGGUUCAAAAGUGAAAUACGGUCUUGCUGUCACUUAUAGAUGGAUCCGCGCUGCAUUGGCUAGUUGGUAAGGUAACGGCUUUCCAAGGCAACGAUGCAUAGCCGAGCUGGGAGACUGAUCGGCCACCCUGGAGCUGAGACAGGGUCCAGACUACUGCGGGAGGCAGCAGUAGGGAAUCUUCCGCAAUAGGCGAAAGCCUGACGGAACGACGCCACGUGAGUGAUAAAGGUCUUCGGAUCGUAAAACUCUCUUAUUAGGGAAGAACAUAUGUGUAAGUAACUGUGCACAGAUUGACGGUAACUAAUAAGAAAGCCACGGCUAACUACGUG
rnacentral:rRNA from 1 species